rnacentral:tRNA from 1 species
GCCGAUGUGGCUCAGUGGUAGAGCACUCGAUUCGUAAUCGAGCGGUCGCGGGUUCAAAUCCCGCCAUCGGCUUCA